AUUGAACGCUGGCGGCAGGCCUAACACAUGCAAGUCGAACGGUAACAGGAAGCAGCUUGCUGCUUCGCUGACGAGUGGCGGACGGGUGAGUAAUGUCUGGGAAGCUGCCUGAUGGAGGGGGAUAACUACUGGAAACGGUAGCUAAUACCGCAUAAUGUCGCAAGACCAAAGAGGGGGACCUUCGGGCCUCUUGCCAUCGGAUGUGCCCAGAUGGGAUUAGCUUGUUGGUGGGGUAACGGCUCACCAAGGCGACGAUCCCUAGCUGGUCUGAGAGGAUGACCAGCCACACUGGAACUGAGACACGGUCCAGACUCCUACGGGAGGCAACAGUGGGGAAUAUUGCACAAUGGGCGCAAGCCUGAUGCAGCCAUGCCGCGUGUAUGAAGAAGGCCUUCGGGUUGUAAAGUACUUUCAGCGGGGAGGAAGGGAGUAAAGUUAAUACCUUUGCUCAUUGACGUUACCCGCAGAAGAAGCACCGGCUAACUCCGUG
rnacentral:rRNA from 1 species